rnacentral:rRNA from 1 species
UACGUAGGGUGCGAGCGUUGUCCGGAAUUAUUGGGCGUAAAGGGCUCGUAGGCGGUUUGUCGCGUCGGGAGUGAAAACCAGGUGCUUAACACCUGGCUUGCUUUCGAUACGGGCAGACUAGAGGUAUUCAGGGGAGAACGGAAUUCCUGGUGUAGCGGUGAAAUGCGCAGAUAUCAGGAGGAACACCGGUGGCGAAGGCGGAUCUCUGGGCCUUACCUGACGCUGAGGCGCGAAAGCUAGGGGAGCGAACAGG